AACGAACGCUGGCGGCGUGCCUAACACAUGCAAGUCGUGCGGGAAAGUAGGGGCAACUCUACGAGUAGAGCGGCGCACGGGUGAGUAACACGUAGGUAACCUGCCUUCGAGACUGGGAUAACCUGUCGAAAGACGGGCUAAUACCGGAUAAGACCACCGGAGUUGCGGCUUCGGGGGUAAAAUGGUGGCCUCUGCUUGCAAGCUACCACUCGGAGAUGGGCCUGCGCGCCAUUAGCUAGUUGGCGGGGUAACGGCCCACCAAGGCAAAGAUGGAGGGUGGGUCUGAGAGGAUGGCGGGCCACAUUGGGACUGAGACACGGCCCAGACUCCUACGGGAGGCAGCAGUGGGGAGUAUUGCGCAAUGGGCGAAAGCCUGACGCAGCGACGCCGCGUGGGUGAUGAAGGCCUUCGGGUCGUAAAGCCCUGUCGGGAGGGACGAAACCUCGACAACCCAAUACGUUGUCGACCUGACGGUACCUCCUAAGGAAGCACCGGCUAACUCCGUGCCAGCCGCCGCGGUAAUAC
rnacentral:rRNA from 1 species